rnacentral:rRNA from 1 species
GAACGCUGGCGGCGUGCCUAAUACAUGCAAGUCGAGCGAACAGACGAGGAGCUUGCUCCUCUGACGUUAGCGGCGGACGGGUGAGUAACACGUGGAUAACCUACCUAUAAGACUGGGAUAACUUCGGGAAACCGGAGCUAAUACCGGAUAAUAUAUUGAACCGCAUGGUUCAAUAGUGAAAGACGGUUUUGCUGUCACUUAUAGAUGGAUCCGCGCCGCAUUAGCUAGUUGGUAAGGUAACGGCUUACCAAGGCAACGAUGCGUAGCCGACCUGAGAGGGUGAUCGGCCACACUGGAACUGAGACACGGUCCAGACUCCUACGGG